rnacentral:rRNA from 1 species
UACGUAGGGUCCGAGCGUUGUCCGGAAUUACUGGGCGUAAAGCGCGCGUAGGCGGCUUUGCAAGUCGGGUGUGAAAUCCCCAGGCUUAACCUGGGAACUGCAUUCGAGACUGCAUUGCUAGAGUAUGGGAGAGGGAAGUGGAAUUUCCGGUGUAGCGGUGAAAUGCGUAGAUAUCGGAAGGAACAUCAGUGGCGAAAGCGACUUCCUGGACCAAUACUGACGCUCAUGUGCGAAAGCGUGGGGAGCAAACAGG